GAUGAACGCUGGCGGCGUGCCUAAUACAUGCAAGUCGAGCGAACGGACGAGAAGCUUGCUUUUCUGAUGUUAGCGGCGCACGGGUGAGUAACACGUGGAUAACCUACCUAUAAGACUGGGAUAACUUCGGGAAACCGGAGCUAAUACCGGAUAAUAUUUUGAACCGCAUGGUUCAAAAGUGAAAGACGGUCUUGCUGUCACUUAUAGAUGGAUCCGCGCUGCAUUAGCUAGUUGGUAAGGUAACGGCUUACCAAGGCAACGAUGCAUAGCCGACCUGAGAGGGUGAUCGGCCACACUGGAACUGAGACACGGUCCAGACUCCUACGGGAGGCAGCAGUAGGGAAUCUUCCGCAAUGGGCGAAAGCCUGACGGAGCAACGCCGCGUGAGUGAUGAAGGUCUUCGGAUCGUAAAACUCUGUUAUUAGGGAAGAACAUAUGUGUAAGUAACUGUGAACAUCUUGACGGUAUCUAAUCAGAAAGCCACGGCUAACUACGUG
rnacentral:rRNA from 1 species